UACGUAGGUGGCAAGCGUUUGUCCGGAUUUACUGGGCGUAAAGGGCGUGCAGGCGGUUUGUCUAGUCUAGGGUGAAAGCUCCCGGCUUAACUGGGAGAGGUCCUUGGAUACUGGCAAACUUGAGGGAGGCAGAGGAAAGUGGAAUUCCCGGUGUAGUGGUGAUAUGCGUAGAUAUCGGGAGGAACACCAGUGGCGAAGGCGGCUUUCUGGGCCUUACCUGACGGCUGAGACGCGAAAGCGUGGGGAGCGA
rnacentral:rRNA from 1 species